rnacentral:rRNA from 1 species
ACUAUAUCUAGCCCAUACUCCUCCUCACCACUACUACUAUAAGUCAAUCAAAUAAAACAUUUACCAUACAUCUAAAGUAUAGGAGAUAGAAAUUUAAUUAUCAAUGGCGCUAUAGAGAAAGUACCGUAAGGGAAAGAUGAAAGAAUUAUUAAAAGUAGAAAAAAGCAAAGUUUACCCCUUGUACCUUUUGCAUAAUGAUUUAACUAGUAAUAAUUUAGCAAAGAGACCUUAAGUUAAAUUACCCGAAACCAGACGAGCUACUUAUGAGCAGUGACUAGAACAAACUCAUCUAUGUGGCAAAAUAGUGAGAAGACUUAUAGGUAGAGGUGAAAAGCCUAACGAGCCUGGUGAUAGCUGGUUGUCCAAGAAAGGAAUUUCAGUUCAACAUUAAACAAUACUAAAAACCAUAUUAAGUUCCAACGUAUGUUUAACUGUUAGUCUAAAAAGGUACAGCUUUUUAGAAAUGGAUACAACCUUUACUAGAGAGUAACAUAAAACUUAAACCAUAGUUGGCCUAAAAGCAGCCAUCAAUUAAGAAAGCGUUCAAGCUCAACAACAAAAACAAGUUUUAAUUUCAACAAUAAACAAAAAACUCCUAGCCUGACUAUUGGACUAAUCUAUUUAAUUAUAGAAGAAAUACUGUUAAUAUGAGUAACAAGAAAAACUUUCUCCUUGCACA